AUUGAACGCUGGCGGCACGCUUCACACAUGCAAGUCGAAUGAUGGAGGUGGCAACACCGAAGUCAUGGCGUACGGGUGAGUAAAGCGUAGGGAUCUACCUAUUUGAUUGGGAUAACCUAGGGAAACUUAGAGCAAUACCGAAUACGUUCGGAAGAAGAAAGCUAGGGGCGACUCUGGCGCAGAUAGAUGAACCUACGUCGGAUUAGCUAGUUGGUAGGGUAAAGGCCUACCAAGGCGAUGAUCCGUAGCUGGUCUGAGAGGACGAACAGCCACACUGGGACUGAGACACGGCCCAGACUCCUACGGGAGGCAGCAGUGGGGAAUAUUGGACAAUGGGCGGAAGCCUGAUCCAGCGAUGCCGCGUGUGUGAAGAAGGCCUACGGGUUGUAAAGCACUUUCGUUUGGGAAGAAGGGUUUAUGGUUAAGAGCUGUAGACUUUGACGUUACUAAAAGAAGAAGCACCGGCUAACUCUGUGCCAGCAGCCGCCGUAAAAC
rnacentral:rRNA from 1 species